CCCGUCUGACCCUGAUAAUUUCAGGGCAAUCACACUUAUCAGUUGCCUAGGGAAAUUAUUUACGUCUGUUAUAAAUUCUAGAUUAAAUAUUUUUGCUAACGAGUUGAGUCUCAUUUCCGAAAACCAAGCUGGUUUCAGGAAAGGAUAUUCAACAGUUGACAACAUUUUUGUAUUGCAUACUCUAAUUGAGUUAUAUUUUUCGUUUGGCAAGAAGCUUUAUUGUACUUUCGUCGACUUUCGGAAGGCGUUCGACACUGUCUGGCGAUCGGGGCUAUGGACAAAAUUACAAAAUUGUGAGAUUAAAGGUAAAUGUUUUAAGGUUAUCUUUAACAUGUACCAUGAUAUUAAAUCUUGCGUUCAGUAUAAUGGUGACCAGUCUGAAUUUUUCACUUGUCUUACUGGUGUAAGGCAGGGGGAAAUUUAUCACCGUUUCUUUUUUCUAUAUUUCUAAAUGAUCUAGAAAGUUAUUUCAGCCAGUUAGACGGUGAACCUCUUAAUAUUAUUAAAGAGAAGCUCGAAAGUGAGUUGCACAUUUUUUAUAAAUUAUUUGCUAUUUUAUAUGCAGAUGACACUGUCAUUCUGUCUGAAAGUAUGGAAGGCAUGCAAAGAGCUCUAGACAUUUUUCAAUCAUAUUGUGAUAUAUGGAAAUUACAGGUUAAUGUUAAUAAAACUAAAGUAAUGAUUUUUUGUAAAAGAAAAACGAG
rnacentral:lncRNA from 1 species